AAAUUUCAGCAAGCUACAGGAGCAUACCAACUCCUUGCUGCGGAGAAAACGGAGGCUCACAUGAGCUUGGAGGACAUACUGGAUUUAUUGAACGUGAUGUUUUUUGGAGCUAUGGGUGGAUUCCCAUUUCAUCGUCAGCGUUUUGUAUUCUCCAAUGGAGAUCGAGACAAGUUUUGCAUCUCGGAUGACGGCAAUGUGGAUGACCUGUUGAACCCAAGCGGGGGUUCUCACGAACCCAGCGCCUAUCCCUGCCAGAGCAGCCGUGAACCCUGCCAUGGCACGCA